rnacentral:rRNA from 1 species
GACGAACGCUGGCGGCGUGCCUAAUACAUGCAAGUCGAACGAGAGCGACCGGUGCUUGCACUGGUCAAUCUAGUGGCGAACGGGUGAGUAACACGUGGGUAACCUGCCCAUCAGAGGGGGAUAACAUUCGGAAACGGAUGCUAAAACCGCAUAGGUCUUCGAGCCGCAUGGCUUGAAGAGGAAAAGAGGCGCAAGCUUCUGCUGAUGGAUGGACCCGCGGUGCAUUAGCUAGUUGGUGAGGUAACGGCUCACCAAGGCCGUGAUGCAUAGCCGACCUGAGAGGGUGAUCGGCCACAUUGGGACUGAGACACGGCCCAAACUCCUACGGGAGGCAGCAGUAGGGAAUCUUCCGCAAUGGACGCAAGUCUGACGGAGCAACGCCGCGUGAGUGAAGAAGGUUUUCGGAUCGUAAAACUCUGUUGUUAGAGAAGAACAAGUGCUAGAGUAACUGUUAGCGC